rnacentral:rRNA from 1 species
UACGUAGGGUGCAAGCGUUGUCCGGAUUUAUUGGGUUUAAAGGGUGCGUAGGCGGCUUUAUAAGUCGUGGGUGAAAGCCUUCCGCUUAACGGAAGAAUUGCCUGCGAUACUGUGAGGCUUGAGUACGGUUAAGGUCGGCGGAAUUAAUGGUGUAGCGGUGAAAUGCUUAGAUACCAUUAGGAACACCAAUUGCGUAGGCAGCUGACUAGGCCGUAACUGACGCUGAGGCACGAAAGCGUGGGUAGCAAACAGG